CCAGACUCCUACGGGAGGCAGCAGUGAGGAAUAUUGGUCAAUGGGCGAGAGCCUGAACCAGCCAAGUCGCGUGAAGGAUGACGGCCCUACGGGUUGUAAACUUCUUUUGUCAGGGAGCAAUUGGGUCCACGCGUGGGCUUAGCGAGAGUACCCGAAGAAAAAGCAUCGGCUAACUCCGUGCCAGUAGCCGCGGUAAUACGGAGGAUGCGAGCGUUAUCCGGAUUUAUUGGGUUUAAAGGAUGCGCAGGCGGAGGUGCAAGUCAGCGGUCAAAUGUCGGGGCUCAACCCCGGCCUGCCGUUGAAACUGGCGGCCUCGAGUGGGCGAGAAGUAUGCGGAAUGCGUGGUGUAGCGGUGAAAUGCAUAGAUAUCACGCAGAACUCCGAUUGCGAAGGCAGCAUACCGGCGCCCAACUGACGCUGAAGCACGAAAGCGUGGGUAUCGAACAGGAUUAGAUACCCGGGUAGGA
rnacentral:rRNA from 1 species